GGGAAGUCGACUGUCAGUUAAAACUAAAAAUAGGAGGGUUAGCCAAGCGAGCCAACCCUAUAAGGUUCCAUAAAUUAUGUCGGCCAUAUGUCUUGAUAGCCAUACGGCACUCACCAGACGAGGGAGAGUGUGGCAUAAUUAGCCAACCGACCCUUUUAAGAUUUAGCCGAGGGUCAAGAUACGGUAUAUAUAUUGCAACUGCUCUGCUCUCUUGCACCCAUCUUUCCGGUGUGGGAUUUAUGUUAUUCCAGACUAGAGUGUACAGUACAGACAGAAGCUUCUUAAGCUGUUCAAAGAUCACAAAAAAUGGAAACAAAAUGAACUUUUUCAAGUUUAGCUGAGCCAGCACAGUCUUAUCAUUAAAGCCCCAAUUUUUUGAUUUGCUCUCUCAAAUCCUCUCCAAUCAAAAUUAAUCCUUUUCAAAACCCUUUUGUUUUGUUCCCAUGGAAAUUUCUUCUCCAUUUUCAUUCUUCUCCAACAGAUAAAGAUGCUCUUCUCUUGUAUCGGCAAUGAGGUUCCUCUGUUAAAAAGCAUAAUUACUUGAUGUUAAUGAAGAUGGAACUGGUGUUUGGAGCUCUAGUACUUGCUUGCUUGCUUUCUAUUGCAUGUUCUGAUUUGCAAGAACUUUGUCUGGCAUGAACUGUUCUGGAACUUUGUCUCCUAAAAUAGGAGUUCGGAAGAAUCUUAAGACAUUGUAUGUAUGCAGUCUUUGUCCAAUAUUAAGCAGAUAAUCUGUUGCUUUUUCUUUCUUAAGGUUACACACACACAUACCUGAAGCCGAAGGACUUGAUUUUCCAAUUCUGAAUGUUACCGGCAUGGUGACUGCUAUCUUGCUGAAACUUGAAGCUUUCCAUGACUCAUAAUUCUCAUGUGAAUUUUUGUCCUACACAUAUGCAGUAGCCACUGGUUUCAUUGACCUGCUAUUUUCUUCAAGUUCCAUAGAGACUUGAGUUGCAUGACUCUGUGUUGGCCUAUAAAUGAAAAAUAAUCUAAGGGGGUGUUUGGUUGGACCAAAAAAAGGCCAGGAAUGGGAAUGGGAAUGACCCAUUCCCAUUGAAUCUGUUUGUUUCAUAAAAAAAGGCCCGGAAUGGGAAUUCUAAACCCCACGGAAUGGGAAUGGCCCAUUCCCUAUCAGACCCAGGUCAAUCAUUCCCAUUCCUGACCUAAUUUGUGAUUUUGAAAAAAUAAGCGAUAUCAUUUCUCUCCUCUGCACCUCGACUGCUCAUCGUCGUUUCCACUACUACGCCACCACCGUCGCUGCUCCUCCACCGUCGCUGCUCCUCCACCGUCGCUGAUCAACCACCAUCGAUGCUCUAAUCAUUUCCCUCCGCUGCUCGUGUCCCUCUGCUUGCUUCAGUCUCGCCAGCGCUCCACUUCCACCGUCGCUGCUCUAAUCUUGCUGCUCGUGUCCCUCCGCUGCUCAUGUCCCUCCGCUGCUUCAGUCUCGCCAGCGCUCUACUUCCAUCGUCGCUGCUCUAAUCCUGCUGCUCGUGUCCCUCCACUUCUUUAGUCUCGCUGGCGCUCCACUUCCACCGCCGCUGCUCUUUCUCAGGUAAGGACGUGCAUGUUGAUUACUCCAAGGCUAUUGACAGUGUUUUGGAGUGUUUUAAAUUCAAAAUUAUCAUGUAUUUUUUUAGUUUAUGGAUUAGAACGAUGUUGAUUAAAACGUCGAUGUUUGUGUUAUAAACAAAUUAUUCUAGACAUAUUUCUAAUGAAUGAUUUAAUUGCAAUUUAUAACAAUUAUGUAUUUUAAUUA